rnacentral:rRNA from 1 species
CCUACGGGUGGCAGCAGUGGGGAAGAUGGCACAAUGGGGGAAACCCUGAUGCAGAGACGCCGCGUGAGUGAAGAAGUAUUUCGGUAUGUAAAGCUCUAUCAGCAGGGAAGAAAAUGACGGUACCUGAUUAAGAAGCCCCGGCUAACUACGUGCCAGCAGCGGAGGUAAUCCGGAGGGGGCAAGCGUUAUACGGAUGUACUGGGUGAAAAGGGAGCGUAGACGGCAGAACAAGUCUGGAGCGAAAUGCAGGGGCUUAACCCCGGAACUGCUUUGGAAACUGUGAAGCUAGAUUGCAGGAGAGGUAAGUGGAAUGCCUCGUGUAGCGGUGUAAUGCGUAGAUAUUAGGAGGAACACCAGUGGCGAAGGCGGCUUACUGGACUGUAACUGACGUUGAGGCUCGAAAGCGUGGGGAGCAAACAGGAUUAGAUACCCAGUAGGC